AGUAACUGCGAGUGAAGCGGGAAAAGCCCAACGUUGAAGCCUGUGAGGGCGUUGUGACGUGAGCAAUAAAGACUUUUGGUUAGCAACCAGCAUUUCUGUUAAAGUCGUCUGGAUUGACGCGCCAUGGAGGGUGACAGCCCCGUUCGUGACAGAGUGCUGGUUGUGCAGAUACGCAAGUACGACCAAUUGUUUAAGAGAGUCGGGUUGUUUGGGAUUGCAACCUGAAGAGGGUGGUAAGCUCCACCUAAGGCUAAAUACAAGCACGAAACCGAUAGCGAACAAGUACCGUGAGGGAAAGUUGAAAAGAACUUUGAAAAGAGAGUCAAAAGUACGUGAAACCGUUAACAGGGAAGCAGAAGGGCGUGUCGAGACGCGCGGUUUUUGGUCUUUAAUUAGUUUUUAUACGUAAUUAAGAUUGCAAACCGCGUGUGCGUCAGGUCACUUGAUUGCUGGUCCACAAACCAAGUGUGCUGGUCACAUUCCGGUGUUGUUUACAAUGCCGGUUGUGGCUUGACCUUCGGGUUUGCUGUGACUUGCGGUUGAGUUGAAAUGAAUAAAGACGACGGUAGGGGUCCUCGGAGUCCGCAGAUUGGCGCAUUCAAUUGUGUGUGCAUGUGCGUUUCGCCGUGUACACAUGAUUGGGUGUAAUCAGUCAGCCGUUGUCAGCAUCUGACGAGAUACCGAACUUUCUGACCCGUCUUGAAACACGGACCAAGGAGGCAGAAGCUACAGCGAGUCGUAGGGUGGAAAACCCGUUGCGUAAGCAAGUUAGGCUAAGUGAAAGCAAACGAGUUGGAUGGUGCAUUAAUUCGCGCAAGCGGAUGUGUACCGGCACAACUGGCCGCCUUUGUUUUGAGCAUUGGUGAGUUAGAGCUGUAGCUGCUGGACCCGAAAGAUGGUGAACUAUGCGUGAGCAGGGCGAAGCCAGAGGAAACUCUGGUGGAGGCUCGAAGGGAUUCUGACGUGCAAAUCGAUCUUUAGACUUGCGUAUAGGGGCGAUAGACUAAUCGAACCAUCUAGUAGCUGGUUCCCUUUGAAAUAUCCCUCAGGAUCGCUGAGAUCAGUGUGUGUUGUAGUUUCAUCGGGUAGAGCUAAUGAUUAGAGGCAUCGGGGAAAGAUUACACUCGACCUAUUCUCAAACUACCAAUCGGUGAUACGCGUCUUUUUCUUAAUUGAAUUGACGCGGCGAAUACAUGAUCUCAAGUGGGCCAUUUUUGGUAAGCAGAACUGGCGAUGCGGGAUGAACCGAAAGCUGAGCUAAGGUGCCAAAGAGCACGUCAACAGACACCACAAAAGGAGUCGGUCGAUAUAGACAGCAGGGCGGUGUCCCUGACAGUAGGAAUCCGCUAAGGAAUGUUUAACCACUCACCUGCCGAAUCGACCGGCCCUGAAAAUGGAUGGCGCUAAAGCGUGCCACCGAUGCUUGGCCGUUACAGCAGAAACAAUGUGUGUUCUGUAACGGGUAAAAGGGCGCGGCGGUGGCGAUAAAGUGUACAGCGUGAGCGUACAUGGAGCCGCCGUCGGUGUAGAUCUUGGUGAUAGUAGCAACAAAAUAAAAGUGAGAACCUUUUAGGCCGAAGUGGAGAAGGGUUCCACGUGAACAUCAUUUGGACGUGGGUUAGUCGGUCCUAAGCCAUUGCCUAACGGCUAUUCAAGGCGGGCAGCAUUAACAAUGCACUAUGUUACGCAAGUAACCGCUAGCGCUGAAGGGUGGUCAAACACCUGGAGGGGCUAGUGUAUGUAGGCCCGAGCGUGGCGAAAGGGAAUCCGGUUAAUAUUCCGGAACCAGACGGGGAAAUGCCUGGCCUGAGCUUGCGGCUUGCUGUAAGUUUGGACUAGGUUGAGCGGUAACGCAAACAAUCUCGGAGACAUCAACCUCUAUCGCGGGGAGAGUUAUCUUUUCUGCAUAACAGGUAAAAACCUUGGAAUCGAGUCAUUCGUAGAAGAGGUCAUACACCUGGAAGAGCAUUGCAUUUAAAGCGGUGUCCGCUGUGUAGGGGUUGGUCCUUGAAAAUCCGAGGGCGUGUUUGAAUUUCCUGUCUGUCCGUACCGAAUCCGCAUCUGGUCUCCUAGGUGAGCAGCCUCUGGCAUUGGAAGAAUGUGGGUAAGGGAAGUCGGCAAAAUAGAUCCGUAACCUCGGGAAAAGGAUUGGCUCUAAGGGCCGGGCUGAGCGAGCUAGUAAUUUCACUGUGGCAAAGGUAGGAACGCUGUGUUGUGUUGGUGUGCAGCGGGGCUUGCCUCGCUGUGCAUCACGCAACCAGUGCGAGCACUGGAGUCGCUUUGGUUUACCUGCGUGGUGGAAUGUGUGCGGUUUCGGCCGUGUUGCAGACCAUCUUUACGCGAGGCGAUAAUCGGCCAACUUAGAACUGUUACUAACAUGGGGAAUCCGACUGUUUAAUUAAAACAAAGCAUUGCGAUGGCCGUAACCGGUGUUGACGCAAUGUGAAUUCUGCCCAGUGCUCUGAAUGUCAAAGUGUAGAAAUGCAACCAAGCACGGGUA
rnacentral:rRNA from 1 species